AUUGAACGCUGGCGGCAUGCCUUACACAUGCAAGUCGAACGGCAGCAUGGAGAGCUUGCUCUCUGAUGGCGAGUGGCGAACGGGUGAGUAAUGCAUCGGAACGUACCGUGUGAUGGGGGAUAACGUAGCGAAAGUUACGCUAAUACCGCAUACGACCUGAGGGUGAAAGCAGGGGAUCGCAAGACCUUGCGUUAUACGAGCGGCCGAUGUCAGACUAGCUAGGUGGUGAGGUAAAGGCCCACCAAGGCGACGAUCUGUAGCGGGUCUGAGAGGAUGAUCCGCAACACUGGGACUGAGACACGGCCCAGACUCCUACGGGAGGCAGCCGUGGGGAAUUUUGGACAAUGGGGGCAGCCCUGAUCCAGCCAUGCCGCGUGAGUGAAGAAGGCCUUCGGGUUGUAAAGCUCUUUCGGCCGGGAAGAAAUCGCACAGGCUAAUACUCUGUGUGGAUGACGGUACCGGCAUAAGAAGCACCGGCUAACUACGUGCCAGCAGCCGCCGUAA
rnacentral:rRNA from 1 species